rnacentral:piRNA from 1 species
UGCCACUGGGAUCUGUAUUCCCAGAACCAAGG